rnacentral:rRNA from 1 species
UACAGAGGGUGCGAACGUUGUUCGGAAUUACUGGGCGUAAAGCGCAUGUAGGCGGCAGCGCAAGUCGGGCGUGAAAUCCCACGGCUCAACCGUGGAAGUGCACUCGAAACUGCGCAGCUAGAGUCCUGGAGAGGAAGGUGGAAUGCUUGGUGUAGAGGUGAAAUUCGUAGAUAUCAAGCGGAACACCGGUGGCGAAGGCGGCCUUCUGGACAGUGACUGACGCUGAGAUGCGAAAGCGUGGGGAGCGAACAGG